CUACGGGAGGCUGCAGUGAGGAAUAUUGCACAAUGGGGGGAACCCUGAUGCAGCAACGCCGCGUGGAGGAUGACGCAUUUCGGUGUGUAAACUCCUUUUAUAUAUCAAGAAAAUGACGGUAGCAUAUGAAUAAGCACCGGCUAACUCCGUGCCAGCAGCCGCGGUAAUACGGAGGGUGCAAGCGUUACUCGGAAUCACUGGGCGUAAAGGACGCGUAGGCGGGUUGGAAAGUCAGGUGUGAAAUCCUACAGCUUAACUGUAGAACUGCGCUUGAAACUUCUAAUCUAGAGUAUGGGAGGGGGAGAUGGAAUUAGUGGUGUAGGGGUAAAAUCCGUAGAUAUCACUAGGAAUACCUAAAGCGAAGGCGAUCUCCUGGAACAUUACUGACGCUAAGGCGUGAAAGCGUGGGGAGCAAACAGGAUUAGAUACCCUAGUAGUC
rnacentral:rRNA from 1 species